rnacentral:rRNA from 1 species
GACGAACGCUGGCGGCGUGCUUAACACAUGCAAGUCGAACGGAAAGGCCCUGCUUUUGUGGGUUGCUCGAGUGGCGAACGCGUGAGUAACACGUGAGUAACCUCCCCUUGACUGUGGGAUAACUUCAUGAAACUCGGGCUAAUACCCGAUAGGAGCUCCUGAUGCAUGGUGUGGGUUGGAGAGUUUCGGCGGUUGGGGCUAGAAUCGCGGCUUAUCAGCUUGUUUGUCGGGUAGUGACGUACCAAGGGUUUGACGGAUAGGCCGCCUGGGAGAGUGACCGGCCACAUGGCUACUGCGAGACGGCGCAGACUCCUACGGUCGGCAGCAGUGGGAAGUAUGGCACAACGGGGGGACGCCUGUUGCAGCAACGCCGCGUGCGGGAUGCUGGGUUAUGGGUUGUAAACAGCUUUGUACUUAGCUGAAGCGUGAGUGACGGUAAUGGGUAAAGAAGCACCGGCUAACUACGUG